AUGCGUAUAAAUAUAAGUACAAAAAGAAAAUAAAACAACCUAUAUUCGAGUCCCAACCGCCGCGGAUGGCCGAGGAAGUCGUCACCGAGGAUUGACGGCCGAAAACCGAAAGGUUUCUCGAGAUUUGGGCCCCCUUCGUCAAUAUUUUGGAAAUUUCGAGGCUAGAUUCGGCUUUAAAGGUUUUGAAAGGGUCGGAUCUGAGAUUUUCGGCUUUUCGGCCACCGCAUACAGAGGGGAUGAGAGUUUUUUUGAAGGGAUUUUGGUUUUUUUUCUUAAAAAUGUUUUAAAAUGAAUUUUUUUGGAGGAAUGGGGGCUUUUAUACGGUACCAAAACGAUACUGUUUUGGAGUGACCCUAGAGGCCCAAAACGACGUCGUUUUAGGGAGGCCAACCCGACUCCGACCCGACCCGGCCUAGGAUCCGCGUGUUUUUGAGCGGAGGGGAAAAUUGCAUUUUUAGCCCCUCCGCCUUUUAAUAUAUUUCCAGUUAAGUUUUUUUUUUAUUUUUUUUAAAAAAUUUACCAUUCUAUUUGUUUCAAUUUUAAUUUGGUCUAAUUUGCAACGGCGCCGUUUCAAAGGAGAAAAGAUAAUUUCCUUUCCAGCCCCUCUGAAUUGUUAGCGUGUUCAAUGAUACCCCCCAGUCUUCAAUUAUUUGCGAAUCUACCCGAUAUUUUUAUAUUUGUAGUUCAAUUUAGUCUCUUUUAAUAUUUUUCUUAAAAUUAAUUAAUUUUAAUAAAGUAAGUAUUAUUUUUUAAAUAUAUAUAUACAUGUAUAUUUAUUUUUUAUACAUGUACAUAUUUAUUUUUUAACUAAUAUUUUCAUACAUAUAUAUUUUUUUAAUGUAGAUAUUAUUUAAUUAUUUUUAAUAUAUUUUACAUGUAUAUAUAUUUAUUUUUCUC
rnacentral:lncRNA from 1 species